AGGGUAAUGGAGGAGUCUGGUCAUCCUCGCCUGCAUUGGAAGCAGGAGGCCCCUGGUUCGAAUCCAGGUUACCCUA
rnacentral:tRNA from 1 species